rnacentral:rRNA from 1 species
CAGCCGCCGCGGGAAAACGGAGGGUGCAAGCGUUAAUCGGAAUUACUGGGCGUAAAGCGCACGCAGGCGGUCUGUCAAGUCAGAUGUGAAAUCCCCGGGCUUAACCUGGGAACUGCAUUUGAAACUGUCAGGCUGGAGUCUUGUAGAGGGGGGUAGAAUUCCAGGUGUAGCGGUGAAAUGCGUAGAGAUCUGGAGGAAUACCGGUGGCGAAGGCGGCCCCCUGGACAAAGACUGACGCUCAGGUGCGAAAGCGUGGGGAGCAAACAGGAUUAGAUACCCCUGUAGUCCCUGUCUCUUAUAC